rnacentral:rRNA from 1 species
UACAGGGGGGGCAAGCGUUGUUCGGAAUUACUGGGCGUAAAGGGCUCGUAGGCGGCCAACUAAGUCACACGUGAAAUCCCCAGGCUUAACCUGGGAACUGCGUGUGAUACUGGAUGGCUUGAAUCCGGGAGAGGGAUGCAGAAUUCCAGGUGUAGCGGUGAAAUGCGUAGAUAUCUGGAGGAAUACCGGUGGCGAAGGCGGCAUCCUGGACCGGCAUUGACGCUGAGGAGCGAAAGCCAGGGGAGCAAACGGG